rnacentral:rRNA from 1 species
UACGGGGGGAGCAAGCGUUGUUCGGAAUUACUGGGCGUAAAGGGCUCGUAGGCGGCCCUCUCAGUCGGAUGUGAAAUCCCCAGGCUUAACCUGGGAACGGCAUCCGAUACUGGAGGGCUUGAAUUCGGGAGAGGGAUGCGGAAUUCCAGGUGUAGCGGUGAAAUGCGUAGAUAUCCGGAGGAACACCGGUGGCGAAGGCGGCUUCCUGGACCGACACUGACGCUGAGGCGCGAAAGCUAGGGGAGCAAACGGG